CGGAGUGGACCAGCAGGGCGAGACUCAAAAUCCGGUGCCCCGAAAGGGGCGUGUCGGUUCGAGCCCGACCUCCGGUA
rnacentral:tRNA from 1 species